rnacentral:rRNA from 1 species
UAAGGGAAUCUUCGGCAAUGGACGAAAGUCUGACCGAGCAACGCCGCGUGAGUGAAGAAGGUUUUCGGAUCGUAAAAACUCUGUUGGUAGAGAAGAACGUUGGUGAGAGUGGAAAGCUCAUCAAGUGACGGUAACUACCCAGAAAGGGACGGCUAACUACGUGCUAG